GAAAACCGGGGGCCAGGGGCCGCGUUAAUGCGGAGGGUGGAAUGGUACUUCGGAAUUACGGGGCGUAAAGUGCACGCAGGCGGUGAAUUAAGGCAGAUGUGAAAGCCCCGUGCUUAACUGGGUAAUUGCACCUGAAACUGGUUGGCUAGAGUCUUGUAGAGGGGGGUAGAAUUCCAUGUGUAGCGGUGAAAUGCGUGGAGAUGUGGAGGAAUACCGGUGGCGAAGGCGGCCCCCUGGACAAAGACUGACGCUCAGGUGCGAAAGCGUGGGGAGCAAACAGGAUUAGAUACCCGAGUAGUC
rnacentral:rRNA from 1 species